rnacentral:rRNA from 1 species
UACGAAGGGUGCAAGCGUUACUCGGAAUUACUGGGCGUAAAGCGUGCGUAGGUGGUUUGUUAAGUCUGUUGUGAAAGCCCCGGGCUCAACCUGGGAAUGGCAAUGGAUACUGGCAAGCUAGAGUGCGGUAGAGGGUAGUGGAAUUCCCGGUGUAGCGGUGAAAUGCGUAGAGAUCGGGAAGAACAUCGGUGGCGAAAGCGCUCUACUGGACCGCAACUGACACUCAGGGACGAAAGCUAGGGGAGCGAAUGGG